UUAGCUAGGGCUGAGUUUGUAAGAAAAGGUUCCUGACUAGUGGUUAUGAGGGAGACAAGGUCCCCAUUUUCAGAAGCUGCUCAGUUCUCUGGCCAGGGGUGGUGUGUCCUCUGCAGCAGAAAGUUGGAUCCAGGAGGAGGACUGCAAAUUGCUUGCCUUCCUCCCACGUUUUUAUGUCUCUCUCCUCUAAUGUGUUGGCCAAUACACACUCUGUCUCUCUCUGUCUCUGUCUCUCUCUCCUUGCCUCACCUUCUGCUGUCUCCCUUUGUAGCACACAGGCAGAUGUGGUAGGUGUGAAAGCUGGCUGACGCCCCUUAAUAGUUAACAAGCGGCCAGUAAGGGGGGAUGGGGGAGUAAGUACUGCUCAUGGACACAAUAGCUUGCAUUUUUUCACUAUCUCUUUUGCUCUGCCUCAAGGCAAGAAGAUCCUGCUCCUAACCAGUUAGUUCUACUUAGAUAAGGGAAACAUGAGACUUUACACUUACCAAUCAAGUAUUAACACGCAAGGGUCUUUGUCUGAAUGUGUAUAAAAGGCUGUUAAUUGGCUUUCAGCUAGGCAGACCUGAUAUUUCAGUAAGAGUUUCUGGCGACUCCAGAUGGGACUCUCCUAGCUCGGACAUUGGACUGCAGACGGCUGCAGUGAACUAGGAGCGGUGCCACUGGGGUGCUUAACCCCUCUUCUUCACUCCUCCACAAUCCCUGGGGUUCGUGAUCCGAUAAGAUAAUCAGAGAAAACUGAUGCCAGCUGAACAGCAUUCAACAUAUCAUGCAUUUACUGGUACAAUAGAAAUUAUGUUUUGAGUUCUAUGUUCUGUCUUGUGGUGUUUGUCUCCUGGCCGGAAUUGUUCUGUUUAGUGUUUUCAUGGGAUUGUCUGGUUUGAAAUCAGGCAGAGGGGUUGGAUUGGAAUGCAGACAUUGAUUUUAUUCAAUCUGAAAUACAAAGUGUUUGGAUAAAUCAGGCAAAUGUGAUAUACUAAAGUCUAACACAUUUGCUUAAGUAAAAAACAAAAACAAAAACGAACUUCAUUGGCCAAAUCUUUUAAUUAAAAAUUGUUGUUAAAAUUUGCAUACCAACAGUUUUUGGAAGCAAGGACAAGAAGGGUUAACCCACUCCUCAUAUUGUACAUGGGAUCCUUCUGGCUACCUCAGAUUUCUAGCCAGAGGGCUGGGGAGGGUGGGAAGCUAUUGGACUAGAGGUUGAAUUGAAUGAACUCCUCAAAAGUGGGUGUGCUUAUCCUGUCUUGUUGCUCCAAAGCUCUGUAAUAAGGUUAUUUUACUGGAAGGGUAUAUGUGGCAUACAUUGAAUAAUAAGACUAAUAUACUGUAUAAUAGCAAUGUGUAUGUGUUCAUGGUUGGGAAAAAGGUUUAUGAGUGAAGAGUGGAAGUUUCCUUUGUAGGUUAAAUGAAGCCAAGAAGGAAAAAGAACACAAUGAAUUAACUGGGAAAAAUAAUAGCCAGCAUGCUUAGUCCAAAUGUAAGACACUGGCCCCACUCAAGGACACUGCUCACAGGUAAGGCUUGGCUGACAACCAAGAAAAGGGGGGGCUUGAAUGAGCCCAAGCAGCUAUGAGA